rnacentral:rRNA from 1 species
UUCCGGUUGAUCCUGCCGGAGGUCAUUGCUAUCGGGGUUCGACUUAGCCAUGCUAGUCGUGCGAGUUCAGACUCGCGGCGUAUAGCUCAGUAACACGUGGCCAAACUACCCACCAGACAGGAAUAACCUCGGGAAACUGAGGCUAAUGCCUGAUACGCGUUGUCAGUUUGAAGACGACGACGAUCAAACGUUCCGACGCUGGUGGAUGUGGCUGCGGCCGAUUAGGUAGACGGUGGGGUAACGGCCCACCGUGCCGAUAAUCGGUACGGGUUGCGAGAGCAAGAGCCCGGAGACGGAAUCUGAGACAAGAUUCCGGGCCCUACGGGGCGCAGCAGGCGCGAAACCUUUACACUGCACGCCAGUGCGAUAAGGGAACCCCGAGUGAAAGGGCAUAUCGCCCUUUCUUUUCUGAACCGUAGGGAGGUUCAGGAACAAGAGCUGGGCAAGACCGGUGCCAGCCGCCGCGGUAAUACCGGCAGCUCAAGUGAUGACCGAUUUUAUUGGGCCUAAAGCGUCCGUAGCUGGCCAUGCAAGUCCGUCGGGAAAUCCACCCGCUUAACGGGUGGGCGUCCGGCGGAAACUGCACGGCUUGGGACAGGAAGGCUCGAGGGGUACGUUCGGGGUAGGAGUGAAAUCCUGUAAUCCUGAACGGACCACCGAUGGCGAAAGCACCUCGAGAGGACUGAUCCGACAGUGAGGGACGAGAGCUGGGGUCUCGAACCGGAUUAGAUACCCGGGUAGUCCCAGCUGUAAACGAUGUUCGCUAGGUGUGUCACUCACUACGAGUGAGUGAUGUGCCGCAGGGAAGCCGCUAAGCGAACCGCCUGGGAAGUACGUCUGCAAGGAUGAAACUUAAAGGAAUUGGCGGGGGAGCACUACAACCGGAGGAGCCUGCGGUUUAAUUGGAUUCAACGCCGGG